GACUUAAGAUAUUUCCUGCAUUCAAAUUUAAACGAAUAAUGUCGAGUGUCAUAUUAUUUUGUCCAGCACUGUACUUUCAAAAUCUAGAAAUGCGCGUAAUCAUGUACGUCGAUCAACAAAUAAAAGGACUUUUAUUUUUGCCAGGAAAGUAUAUGAAUAAAAACGUUGAAUUCGUGAUAUUCAAAUUAUAACUUUGUACUGAUUGUACUAUAGGAAAGUAUAAGAAUAAAAACUUUGGAUUCAUCAUUUAAAUUAUAACUUCGUACUGUGAUUAUAAAAUUCUACUGAUAAAAUUCUUACUUGCAAACACGACUAUCAACCAUCAGGACUAUCACUUAGAAGGACGCAUGAAACAGUGUUCUUCUUCUCGCCAAAGAUUGCCAGGUUUUGCGGAUCACACCAUGGAGACACGUUACACGUUAAGCGCGAAGGCGACUCUGCUGGGUUUUCCGUUGAGGCGGCAGGCCGACAUAACCUUGAUACUGCCGUUCCCAUGCGCCGAUGCAGUUCAAACGAAAAGUUCGCCGACAGUCGCUGGGAACUGAUGUCGCCCAAAUGAAAAGUCCACUGUCAGAUCAAGAGGACUGACGCUGCCCGAACGAAAAGUCCAUUGUCAGUCCCAGAGGUCUGACGCCGCGCUCAACGUGUUAAAACAGCUUGUCACGUUUCGGAUAAACACAGCAGCGGGGAGUAAGAAUGAUAUGUGCGCAAAAUACCAUGCGCAUCGAACUUCACAAUGUGGCAAGUAUCUACGUUAGAGCAACAAGGAUGACUAGCGACAGCUCUCGUGGGAUCUCGCACCGAUGAAUUCGCUGGAUAUCGAGGAAUUCCUAUCGAAGCAAUGCAUCACGUGAUUUGUCAUGGACCAUGGUUGUCUGUUUCCCGAAUAGGAAAGUUGUCGUUCGACAAGCAAUUCGUAAACUCAUAAGACAUUCAAAUUCUUUGGAAAAUAUGGGAAUUAUACUGAGUGGGAGGAUAUAAGCGUAAAACUCACCGAACGAGAGUUGAUUCGCCGACGGCAUCUCAUCUUCGCUGGGCUGGAGACGGACUUCCAUUUUCCGUAAACGAGAGUGUAGCUCUCGUGUGUGCAGAAAAAGGAACAGUGUGCUCGAAAUCGCAAUCAAAGCGAUUAGCUCGAUAGUCCUGGAAAAUAAAUCUGGCAUUAAACAUGUUCCCAUAAAAAUAAUUCUAUUAGAAUAAUCAUCACUCACUGUUCAUAACGUAAUGCGUAUUAUCAGAACGAUACUCAUUCUAGAUUUAUUACCAAUCACUUCAUGAUGAUUGUAGAGAGAGAAAAUAUAUGGUUAAAGUUAGGAAAAAGAAUCAUGAUCCUGGGAUUUAUCUUUGGAAAAUAUAUUUUCUUUGGCAGUAAA